UGGGGAAUCUUGGACAAUGGGGGAAACCCUGAUACAGCCAUCCCGCGUGUGCGAUGAAGGCCUUCGGGUUGUAAAGCACUUUUGGCAGGAAAGAAACGUCAUGGGUUAAUACCCCGUGAAACUGACGGUACCUGCAGAAUAAGCACCGGCUAACUACGUGCCAGCAGCCGCGGUAAUACGUAGGGUGCAAGCGUUAAUCGGAAUUACUGGGCGUAAAGCGUGCGCAGGCGGUUCGGAAAGAAAGAUGUGAAAUCCCAGGGCUCAACUUUGGAACUGCAUUUUUAACUACCGGGCUAGAGUGUGUCAGAGGGAGGUGGAAUUCCGCGUGUAGCAGUGAAAUGCGUAGAUAUGCGGAGGAACACCGAUGGCGAAGGCAGCCUCCUGGGAUAACACUGACGCUCAUGCACGAAAGCGUGGGGAGCAAACAGG
rnacentral:rRNA from 1 species